rnacentral:rRNA from 1 species
CUCCUAUGCUGCCGAGAAAAGCCUCUAGCGAGCUGGUACAUGGCCCGUACCCCAAACCGACACAGGUGGUCAGGUAGAGAAUACUAAGGCGAUCGAGAGAACUGUGGUUAAGGAACUCGGCAAAAUGCCCCCGUAACUUCGGGAGAAGGGGGACCAGUCCUGGUGACGACAUUUACUGUCUGAGCUGGGGUUGGUCGCAGAGACCAGAGAGAAGCGACUGUUUACUAAAAACACAGGUCCGUGCGAAGUCGUAAGACGAUGUAUACGGACUGACGCCUCCCCGGUGCUGGAAGGUUAAGAGGACCGGUCAGCCACUUCGGUGGCGAAGCUGAGAAUUUAAGCCCCAGUAAACGGCGGUGGUAACUAUAACCAUCCUAAGGUAGCGAAGUUCCUUGUCGGGUAAGUUCCGACCUGCACGAAUGGCGUAACGACUUCUCUGCUGUCUCAACCACAGACUCGGCGAAAUUGCAGUACGAGUAAAGAUGCUCGUUACGCGCGGCAGGACGAAAAGACCCCGGGACCUUCACUAUAGCUUGGUAUUGGUGUUCGGUCCGGUUUGUGUAGGAUAGGUGGGAGACUGUGAAACUCGCACGCCAGUGUGGGUGGAGUCAUUGUUGAAAUACCACUCUGACCGUAUUGGACAUCUAACCUCGGACCAUGAUCUGGUUCAGGGACAGUGCCUGGUGGGUAGUUUAACUGGGGCGGUUGCCUCCCAAAAAGUAACGGAGGCGCCCAAAGGUUCCCUCAGCCUGGUUGGCAAUCAGGUGUUGAGUGUAAGUGCACAAGGGAGCUUGACUGUGAGACGCACAUGUCGAGCAGGGACGAAAGUCGGGACUAGUGAUCCGGCACCGGCAAGUGGAAGCGGUGUCGCUCAACGGAUAAAAGGUACCCCGGGGAUAACAGGCUGAUCUUCCCCAAGAGUCCAUAUCGACGGGAUGGUUUGGCACCUCGAUGUCGGCUCGUCGCAUCCUGGGGCUGGAGUAGGUCCCAAGGGUUGGGCUGUUCGCCCAUUAAAGCGGCACGCGAGCUGGGUUUAGAACGUCGUGAGACAGUUCGGUCUCUAUCCGCCGCGCGCGUAAGAAACUUGAGGAAACCUGUCCCUAGUACGAGAGGACCGGGACGGACGAACCUCUGGUGUGCCAGUUGUUCCACCAGGAGCACCGCUGUUAGCUACGUUCGGAAGGGAUAACCGCUGAAAGCAUCUAAGCGGGGAGCCUGUUCCAAGAUGAGGUUUCUCACCACCUAGCGUGGUUAAGGCCCCCCACAGACCAUGGGGUUGAUAGGCCAGAACUGUAAGCACAGCAGUGUGUUCAGGUGACUGGUACUAAUCGGCCGAGGACUUACU